UACGUAGGGUGCGAGCGUUGUCCGGAAUUAUUGGGCGUAAAGAGCUCGUGGGCGGUCUGUCGCGUCGGUCGUGAAAACUUGGGGCUUAACCCUGAGCUUGCGGUCGAUACGGGCAUGACUGGAGUUCGGUAGGGGAGACUGGAAUUCCUGGUGUAGCGGUGAAAUGCGCAGAUAUCAGGAGGAACACCGGUGGCGAAGGCGGGUCUCUGGUCCGAUACUGACGCUGAGGAGCGAAAGCGUGGGGAGCGAACAGG
rnacentral:rRNA from 1 species